rnacentral:rRNA from 1 species
GGCGAAAGGGUGAGUAAUGCUUCGUUAAUGUACCCAUGGGACCGGGAUAAUUCGUGGAAACGGGUUGUAAUACCGGAUGAGACCCCAUGCACCACGGUGCCGGUGGUCAAAGGCAUGUUGCUUUCGGGCGCAUGCGCCGAUGGAGCGGACGAAGUCUGAUUAGCUUGUUGGUGGGGUAAUGGCCUACCAAGGCGAUGAUCAGUAGCGGGCCUGAGAUGGUGGCCCGCCACACUGGGACUGAGACACUGCCCAGACUCCUACGGGAGGCUGCAGUCGCGAAUCAUUCACAAUGGACGGAAGUCUGAUGAUGCCACGCCGCGUGCGGGAAGAAGGCCUUCGGGUUGUAAACCGCUGUCGAGAGGGGGGAAGUAUUGACUGCCCUCUGGAGGAAGCCCCGGCUAAACACGUGCCAGCAGCCGCGGUAAUACGUGUGGGGCAAGCGUUGUUCGGAAUCACUGGGCUUAAAGGGUGCGUAGGCGGCCUGCCAAGUCAGGGGUGAAAUCCCGCGGCCCAACCGUGGAAUUGCCUUUGAUACUGGUUGGCUUGAGUGUGCCAGGGGUGAGCGGAACGUGUGGUGUAGCGGUGAAAUGCGUAGAUAUCACACGGAAGGCCGGAGCCGAAGGGGGCUCACUGGGGCACAACUGACGCUGAGGCACGAAAGCGUGGGGAGCAGACAGGAUUAGAUACCCUGGUAGUCCACGCCGUAAACGAUGAGCACUAGGCGGUUGUCUUGUUAGAGAUGGCCGUUGGAGAGAAAUUGUUAAGUGCUCCGNCUGGGGAGUAUGGUCGCAAGGCUGAAACUCAAAGGAAUUGACGGGGGCUCACACAAGCGGUGGAGGAUGU